AUUGAACGCUGGCGGCAGGCCUAACACAUGCAAGUCGAACGAGUGGCGGACGGGUGAGUAAUGUCUGGGAAACUGCCUGAUGGAGGGGGAUAACUACUGGAAAAGGUAGCUAAUACCGCAAACCAUCGGAUGUGCCCAGAUGGGAUUAGCUAGUAGGUGGGGUAAAGGCACACCUAGGAGACGAUCCCUAGCUGGUCUGAGAGGAUGACCGGCCACACUGGAACUGAGACACGGUCCAGACUCCGACGGGAGGCAGCAGUGGGGAAUAUUGCACAAUGGGCGCAAGCCUGAUGCAGCCAUGCCGCGUGUAUGAAGAAGGCCUUCGGGUUGUAAAGUACUUUCAGCGGGGAGGCGUUACCCGCAGAAGAAGCACCGGCUAACUCCGUGCCAGCAGCCGCGGUAAUUC
rnacentral:rRNA from 1 species